UGGGGAAUAUUGCACAAUGGGCGCAAGCCUGAUGCAGCCAUGCCGCGUGUAUGAAGAAGGCCUUCGGGUUGUAAAGUACUUUCAGUCGGGAGGAAGGUGGUAAGGUUAAUAACCUUAUCAAUUGACGUUACCGACAGAAGAAGCACCGGCUAACUCCGUGCCAGCAGCCGCGGUAAUACGGAGGGUGCAAGCGUUAAUCGGAAUUACUGGGCGUAAAGCGCACGCAGGCGGUUGAUUGAGUCAGAUGAGAAAUCCCCGGGCUUAACCCGGGAAUUGCAUCUGAUACUGGUCAGCUAGAGUCUUGUAGAGGGGGGUAGAAUUCCAUGUGUAGCGGUGAAAUGCGUAGAGAUGUGGAGGAAUACCGGUGGCGAAGGCGGCCCCCUGGACAAAGACUGACGCUCAGGUGCGAAAGCGUGGGGAGCAAACAGG
rnacentral:rRNA from 1 species